UCUGAGAGGAUGAACGGCCACAAUGGAACUGAGACACGGUCCGUACUCCUACGGGAGGCAGCAGUGGGGAAUAUUGCACAAUGGGGGAAACCCUGAUGCAGCAACGCCGCGUGAGUGAAGAAGGUUUUCGGAUUGUAAAGCUCUGUUAGCAGGGAAGAGGAAGGACGGUACCUGCAGAGGAAGCCACGGCUAACUACGUGCCAGCAGCCGCGGUAAUACGUAGGUGGCAAGCGUUGUUCGGAAUAACUGGGCGUAAAGGAUGCGUAGGCGGUUGAGUAAGUUAUGUGUUAAAUAUAUAGGCUUAACCUGUAGAAAGCACAUAAAACUGUUUAACUAGAGUGCAGGAGAGGUAAGUGGAAUUCCUAGUGUAGCGGUGAAAUGCGUAGAGAUUAGGAAGAACACCAGUGGCGAAGGCGACUUACUGGACUGUAACUGACGCUGAGGCAUGAGAGCAUGGGGAGCAAACAGGAUUAGAUACCCUGGUAGUCCAUGCUGUAAACGAUGGGUACUAGGUGUGGGUUGUGAAUAACAA
rnacentral:rRNA from 1 species